rnacentral:rRNA from 1 species
AUGGCGGCAAGAUGGCGGUCGCUCAGGAGCUCGCAAGGGCAUAUUUCCUUCAACGCCGAGUUCACCGCCGUCCAGCUGCAGGGUAGCCCUAACAUUCCCGCACGCAGCGGCAAGCUCGCCCCCAAGAGGAAGAGAUCACCGGACAAUGACGGCGACCUCGGAGCGAGGCUGUUCGAAGCGAUCGUGGAGAACCCUCACCGCGUUAUAUUGAUGGACGGCGUCGAUCACGAUUCGGAGAUGCACAUCAUGGGGGGAGGAAUGGUGAGGGGAUGCAACGGUGAGGUGGUCAGCCUGGAGGAUGCCAUCAUAGUGCUGAGCGCCUCUGACGUCUUGGACUGGAGGAGGUACGUGGCUUCACCUUCCUCCCCACAGGUGAAACGACGGUUUGGUGGACAGAGCCGUGAGAAAGGUGAUGACAGAAUGGAGAUGAAACGUCGCCAUGGCCGGGAUUUGAGUGUUUGUGCAGUGGAUGAGGAAGAGGAGGAGGAAGACAGUUUUGGUGAUGACGAGGGGAUCCAGGAUGUUGUGGAUGGUGUUUUCCUUUUCAAUUAG